rnacentral:rRNA from 1 species
GAUGAACGCUGGCGGCGUGCUUAACACAUGCAAGUCGAACGAUGAAGCCCAGCUUGCUGGUCGGAUUAGUGGCGAACGGGUGAGUAACACGUGAGUAACCUGCCCUUGACUCUGGGAUAAGCCCGUGAAACUGGGUCUAAUACCGGAUAGGAGCUCCUGUCGCAUGACUGGUUCUGGAAAGAUCUUUCGGUCAUGGAUGGACUCGCGGCCUAUCAGCUUUUUGGUGAGGUACCGGCUCACCAAGGCGACGACGGGUAGCCGGCAUGAGAGGGUGACCGGCCACCCUGGGACUGAGACACGGCACAGAACCAUACGGGAGGCAGCAGUGGGGAACCUUGCACAAUGGGGGAAAGCCUGAUGCAGCGACGCCGCGUGAGGGAUGACCGCCUUCGGGUUGUAAACAUCUUUCAGCAGGGAAGAAGCGAAAGUGACGGUACCUGAAGAAGAAGCAACGGCUAACUACGUG